GAGCCUGGCGCCGCCAUUUUCCCUGCAGCUGCCUGUCCCUCUGGCCCGACCGGGCUCCAGCUGAUCCCGGGCAGGGGGUGGGCUGAGGCUGAGGCGCGGGGCUCGGGAGUGACCCCCGACUGGGUGUAGGAGCCCGCGGGGGGGGACACGCGAGCCGGGGGGCUCUGCGGGCGGGUGGCGGCGCGCGGCCCUGAGCCCCGCCCCAGGCCGGCAGGCGAGCGGGCGGGCCGGGAGCCGGUGGGGGUCGGGGGUGCGGUGGGGGGUGGGGACCCUCGGGCGCUUGGGGGUCCCAGGCCCCGCCGGCUGCCGAGCGGAAGGGGGUUGGCGGACGAGCCGCAGAGAUGUCUGGCCAGAGCCUGACGGACCGAAUCACCGCGGCCCAGCACAGUGUCACCGGCUCCGCGGUCUCCAAGACGGUAUGCAAGGCCACGACCCACGAGAUCAUGGGCCCCAAGAAGAAGCACCUGGACUAUUUAAUUCAGUGUACAAAUGAGAUGAAUGUGAACAUCCCACAGUUGGCAGACAGUUUGUUUGAAAGAACUACUAACAGUAGUUGGGUGGUGGUCUUCAAGUCACUCAUUACAACUCAUCAUUUGAUGGUGUAUGGAAACGAGCGUUUCAUACAGUAUUUGGCUUCAAGGAACACAUUGUUUAACUUAAGCAAUUUUUUGGAUAAAAGUGGAUUGCAAGGCUAUGAUAUGUCUACAUUUAUUAGGCGGUAUAGUAGGUAUCUAAAUGAAAAGGCAGUUUCAUACAGACAAGUUGCAUUCGAUUUCACAAAAGUGAAAAGAGGGGCUGAUGGAGUUAUGAGAACAAUGAACACGGAAAAACUCUUAAAAACUGUACCAAUCAUCCAGAACCAAAUGGAUGCACUUCUUGAUUUUAAUGUUAAUAGUAAUGAACUCACAAAUGGGGUAAUAAAUGCUGCCUUCAUGCUCCUGUUCAAAGAUGCCAUUAGACUCUUUGCAGCAUAUAAUGAAGGAAUCAUUAAUUUAUUGGAAAAAUAUUUUGAUAUGAAAAAGAACCAGUGCAAAGAAGGUCUUGACAUCUAUAAGAAGUUCCUGACUAGAAUGACAAGAAUCUCAGAGUUUCUGAAGGUUGCAGAGCAAGUUGGAAUUGACAGAGGAGAUAUUCCAGAUCUGUCCCAGGCUCCCAGCAGUCUUCUUGAUGCUUUAGAGCAACAUUUAGCUUCUUUGGAAGGGAAGAAAAUCAAAGAUUCCACAGCUGCAAGCAGGGCUACAACACUUUCCAAUGCAGUCUCUUCUUUGGCAAGCACUGGCCUAUCUCUGACCAAAGUGGAUGAAAGGGAAAAGCAGGCAGCACUAGAGGAAGAACAGGCUCGUUUAAAAGCACUAAAGGAGCAGCGUCUAAAAGAACUUGCGAAGAAACCGCACACCUCUCUAACAACUGCAGCCUCUCCGGUGUCCACCUCAGCAGGGGGUGUAAUGACUGCACCAGCCAUCGACAUGUUUUCUACCCCUAGUUCUUCUAACAGCAUAUCUAAGCUGCCAAAUGACCUGCUUGACCUGCAGCAGCCGACCUUUCAUCCCUCUGUCCAUGCCAUGUCAGCCGCUCCUCAGGUAGCAAGCACAUGGGGAGAUCCUUUCUCUGCUACUCUAGAUGCUGUUGAUGAUGCCAUUCCAAGCUUAAAUCCUUUCCUCACAAAAAGUAGUGGUGAUGUUCACCUUCCCAUUUCUUCAGAUGUAUCCACUUUUACUACUAGGACACCUACUCAUGAAAUGUUUGUUGGAUUCAGCCCCUCUCCAGUUGCACAGCCACACCCUUCAACUGGCCUUAAUGUUGACUUUGAGUCUGUGUUUGGAAAUAAAUCUACAAAUGUUACGGUGGAUUCUGGAGGCUUUGAUGAACUAGGUGGACUCCUCAAACCAACAGUGGCCUCUCAGAACCAGAGUCUUCCUAUUGCCAAACUUCCACCAAACAAGUUAGUGUCUGAUGACUUGGACUCAUCUCUAGCCAACCUUGUGGGCAAUCUUGGCAUUGGAAAUGGAACCACUAAGAAUGAUGUAAGUUGGAGUCAACCAGGUGAAAAGAAGUUGACAGGAGGAUCUAACUGGCAACCAAAGGUUGCACCGACAACUGCUUGGAAUGCUGCAACAAUGCAGAAUGGCAUGCAUUUUCCACAAUACGCACCCCCUGUAAUGGCCUAUCCUGCUACCACACCAACAGGCAUGAUGGGAUAUGGGAUUCCUCCUCAGAUGGGAAGUGUGCCUGUAAUGACACAACCAACCUUAAUAUACAGCCAGCCUGUCAUGAGACCACCAAACCCCUUUGGCCCUGUAUCAGGAGCACAGGUAUUAAAAUCAUUGAUCCAUGUCCUCACAUAUGCUGAACAUAAGCUCUGCUACUGAGCUGCAUCCCAGCCAAGUUCCACUCCCUUCCUUUGGUUCAUGUUCAUCAUUCCGUACCUUUUAGAGGUUAUCACCACUGUACUUCAAGAGAUACAGUUUAUGUAACUACACGGAGGAGAAUGGAAUUAUUCCAUGAACACAAGUUCGAGGUGGCAACUCCUUACUUCCAGCAAAAUCCAAACUGCUGUCUCUGAAACUCUUCCUCCAUUAGAGCGCUCCAGUAACCCAUGAAGGCCCACAGCAGGGAUGGGACUAGUUUCUAGGAGAGCCUUGUCAAUAUCGUUUAUAAAGCCAAGAAUUGCCAUGAUUUAAGACUAAGAUCUGUCUUUCUGGUGACUAACACUUCAGUUCUUUCAACUCCUAUUAAUACCCAUAAUCAGUAACCAACCAAGAAAAGCCCGUACUUGGAAAGUGUGGAGUGUGUGUUUGGAAAAGCUGCCUGGAGAAAAGAGUUGUGUCCUUUACCAUAAUUCAACAGGACUCAGUGGGGAUCAAAAUCAUAAUUUUUAAUUAUGCAUUAUAUUUCUUUCCUCCAGUCCUCACAAAUACAGAAACCAUAAUUGAAGUGAGCUUUUUUUUAAAAAAAAAUUAUAUUCAGUUUGCAGUAGACAUUCCUUAAGUAUUUGUAUUUAUUUAUGAUUAUCAAUUUUACAUAACAUUAAUAUUAUAUCAAACCUCCUUAAAAAAAUGAGUAUGGACGUUCACAGUAUGUUUGAUUUUUGUCCACAAGAAUGAAUCUGAUUCAGAAUGCUUUUCAGCUGACAUACAGAGCACUAAAUAUUUUAAGGCAAAACCAUGGGUCUGAAUCUCUUAAGAAUUCUCAGUCUCUAUGGGAUUUAGGGAAGCAUUAUAAAUGCAUUAAUCCUUAUAGUCAAUUCUGUGCCUAGGAUUUUGCAAGGGAACAGUUCACUGACUAGGAAAAGCACUACAUUUAAAAUUCAGCAUUAGUGCAUUGGGAAGGAUCUAUACUGCUUCGUGCUUGGCAUGUCAUUCUAUUCCAUUGGACAGUAGGGCCUUUCCAAAAUGAAUGUGAGGAAUUGCUUUCACUUCAAGACUUUCCUUCUUUUCAGUAAACUUUAGGAGAUGUUAUGGGGAAAGGGAGGGGACAAAAAUCCUUGAACUUUUUAUUUGGCUUGUGCCAUGUUAUGAUCAUGUACCUUUUAAAUAAGGGGAGAUAGUAUCUUUAAAUUCAGUGUCUAGCCAAGAGUUUAGUUAAUGAAGAAUUAAAAUGCACUGUUGAUCGGUGCUUUCUGUACAUACAUCCUAACGCUUGGGUGGAGAGGGGCCUUAAGAAGGACAGUUCAUUGUAGGAAAGCAAUUCUGUACAUGAGUUAAGCAUACUUGUUGCAUUGUCUCUGCAGAUUCUAUUUUUGUUUACAAUAUUAAAAUGUAUGUUAGCAAAUGGGUGGAUUUUCAAAUAAAAUGCAGCUUCCACAAAACAUGUUAUGGUAUUCUGGUUUGAGGUGCAUUCUCCUUUUUCCUUUCAUUUUUUAUUAUCAAUAUCAUCAUUUUUUGCUAAUAAAAUUAUAUCUAAGUGGUUA